rnacentral:ncRNA from 2 species
AACCGCCACUAGGGGAGCUCUUGGGCUGAGAGAAGCGCUUGCUUCGACCCUUAGAACCUGAUCCGGAUAAUGCCGGCGGAGGGAAGUGGACGGGUGAUGCC